CAAAACACUAGGUGUAGUAUGGAAGAUUGAUCUUUCGUCUUUACCAGAUAAAGGAUUAAAAAUGAUAAAUAUAUUUACUACCAAGUUAAGUGGGUCAACUAUAGGUUAUGAUGUAUAUGGUUUGUUUACUUUACAGAAAUCAAAUAUUUUGGUGCUAUUUGGUACAAUUCUGACAUAUUUUAUUGUAGCAGUACAGUUUAAACCUGACGGAACUGGAGAAAAGUGUUUGGAGAUUCUGAAAAACAUAACAUCUUACUGAUGAAUAAUAAUUUGAGUUACUUACUGCCUAUCCCCG